GUGUGCCCAAGGGGCCAUCUCUGUUUUGGUCCUCCGGUUCCCCACUCUUCCUUGGCUGCCACGUGGCAGUCUAUCAUCUCUUUUUCCCCUCCCCCAAGUCAACACACACUCUCUCUCUCAGCUGUCUCUCACAAACCCCUCUCCCUUUCCUUUUCCCGGCGACACCCAAUGCACCCAACACCCAAAUCGAGGCACCCCGGCGACGGCACCACUACCAUCACUCUCGCGAGAACUUCCCUUCCUUCCUCCUCGUCUCUAUGAAGCUCGGUGAAGCCCAAAAACCCAGGAAGUGCUCCGGCGAACCCUCGUGACUUUCGAGCUAAACACGGCCACCGCCGGCCACUCCACAGUGUAUCGAAGGACUUAGAAUCAAGGCGUAUCAUUCCGGCGUUAAGGCACUUCAGCAUUGACAUCUCCGAGUCCUCUCAGUGUGGGUUCCAAGAAUGCAAGCUGUUAGAGCGACUUGUGGAAGGGAACAAGCCGACAGCCAUCAUCAGCGAGGUUGCUGACGACCUGAAUUUGGAUUUAGUUGUCAUAAGCAUGGAAGCUAUUCACUCCAAGCAUAUCGAUGCAAACGUGCUUGCUGAGUUCAUUCCUUGCCCCGUCAUACUUUUGCCAUUAUAAUUUUCCCAUUUCAACUGUAAAGCAAUCACCUCAAACUCAAGCUCCCUUCUCUUUUACAAUCCCAGUUUCUUGUAGUUGGAUUCUUUGGCCGUUUACUUUUGUCUUCAGAGAGAAAUCAAUAGAGAAUUGAAAUUUUUGCAUA